rnacentral:rRNA from 1 species
GCAGAACGCGAAGAACCUUACCCAGGUUUGACAUGCAUCUCUAAGCGCGUGAAAGCGCGUGACCCUUCGGGGGAUUUGCACAGGUGCUGCAUGGCCGUCGUCAGCUCGUGUCGUGAGAUGUUGGGUUAAGUCCCGCAACGAGCGCAACCCUUGUGAACAGUUGCCAGCACUUAAGGUGGGAACUCUGUUCAGACUGCCCAGAUCAACUGGGAGGAAGGUGGGGACGACGUCAGGUCAGUAUGGCCCUUACGCCUAGGGCUGCACACGUACUACAAUGCCCAGCACAAUGAGAACCGAGACCGCGAGGUGGAGGAAAUCUAAAAAACUGGGCCCAGUUCGGAUUGGAGGCUGCAACUCGCCUCCAUGAAGUUGGAAUCGCUAGUAAUGGCGCAUCAGCUACGGCGCCGUGAAUACGUUCCCGGGUCUUGUACACACCG